UACGUAGGGGGCAAGCGUUGUCCGGAUUUAUUGGGCGUCAAGAGCGUGUAGGCGGCUUGACAGGUCUGCUGUGAAAACUCGAGGCUCAACCUCGAGAUGUCGGCGGAAACCGUCUGGCUAGAGUCCGGAAGAGGAGAGUGGAAUUCCUGGUGUAGCGGUGAAAUGCGCAGAUAUCAGGAAGAACACCUGUGGCGAAAGCGGCUCACUGGACCACAACUGACGCUGAGGCGCGAAAGCUAGGGGAGCAAACAGG
rnacentral:rRNA from 1 species